rnacentral:rRNA from 1 species
GCUCAGUAACACGUGGAUAACCUACCCUCAGGUGGGGGAUAACCCCGGGAAACUGGGGAUAAUACCCCAUAGACCAGGGACGCUGGAAUGCCCCCUGAUCGAAAGGUCCGCCGCCUGAGGAUGGGUCUGCGGCCGAUUAGGUUGUUGUUGGGGUAACGGCCCAACAAGCCUUUGAUCGGUACGGGCUGUGAGAGCAAGAGCCCGGAGAUGGAUUCUGAGACACAAAUCCAGGCCCUACGGGGCGCAGCAGGCGCGAAAACUUUACAAUGCGAGAAAUCGUGAUAAGGGAACCCCGAGUGCCCGUAAAUUCGGGCUGUCCAUCAGCGUAAAAAACUGGUGAAGAAAGGGCCGGGCAAGACCGGUGCCAGCCGCCGCGGUAAUACCGGCGGCUCGAGUGGUGGCCACUAUUACUGGGCUUAAAGCGUCCGUAGCUGGAUUGUUAGGUCUCUUGGGAAAUCCGCCGGCUUAACCGGCGGGCGUUCAGGAGAAACUGGCAAUCUAGGGACCGGGAGAGGUGAGAGGUACUCCAGGGGUAGGAGUGAAAUCCUGUAAUCCUUGGGGGACCACCUGUGGCGAAGGCGUCUCACUAGAACGGCUCCGACAGCGAGGGACGAAAGCGGGGGGAGCAAACCGGAUUAGAUACCCGGGUAGUCCCAGCUGUAAACGAUGCGCGUUAGGUGUAUCGGUGACCACGAGUCAUCGAGGUGCCGAAGGGAAACCGUGAAACGUGCCGCCUGGGAAGUACGGUCGCAAGGCUGAAACUUAAAGGAAUUGGCGGGGGAGCAC